UACGGGGGGAGCAAGCGUUGUUCGGAUUUACUGGGCGUAAAGGGCGCGUAGGCGGCCACCGCAAGUCGACUGUGAAAUCUCCGGGCUUAACCCGGAAAAGUCAGCCGAUACUGCGGGGCUAGAGUGCAGAAGGGGCAACUGGAAUUCUCGGUGUAGCGGUGAAAUGCGUAGAUAUCGAGAGGAACACCUGCGGCGAAGGCGGGUUGCUGGGCUGACACUGACGCUGAGGCGCGAAAGCUAGGGGAGCGAACGGG
rnacentral:rRNA from 1 species